rnacentral:rRNA from 1 species
GUGGGGAAUAUUGGACAAUGGGGGGAACCCUGAUCCAGCCAUGCCGCGUGUGUGAAGAAGGCCUUUUGGUUGUAAAGCACUUUAAGCGAGGAGGAGGCUACCGAGAUUAAUACUCUUGGAUAGUGGACGUCACUCGCAGAAUAAGCACCGGCUAACUCUGUGCCAGCAGCCGCGGUAAUACAGAGGGUGCAAGCUUUAAUCGGAUUUAUUGGGCGUAAAGGGCGCGUAGGUGGCCAAUUAAGUCAAAUGUGAAAUCCCCGAGCUUAACUUGGGAAUUGCAUUCGAUACUGGUUGGCUAGAGUAUGGGAGAGGAUGGUAGAAUUCCAGGUGUAGCGGUGAAAUGCGUAGAGAUCUGGAGGAAUACCGAUGGCGAAGGCAGCCAUCUGGCCUAAUACUGACACUGAGGUGCGAAAGCAUGGGGAGCAAACAGGAUUAGAAACCCUAGUAGUCC